rnacentral:rRNA from 1 species
UACGUAGGGUGCAAGCGUUAAUCGGAAUUACUGGGCGUAAAGCGUGCGCAGGCGGCUGAGCAAGUCGAGUGUGAAAGCCCCGAGCUUAACUUGGGAAUUGCGCUCGAAACUACUUGGCUCGAGUGUGGCAGAGGAAGGUGGAAUUCCACGUGUAGCGGUGAAAUGCGCAGAUAUCGGGAAGAACACCCGUGGCGAAGGCGGUUCUCUGGGACGGUACUGACGCUGAGACGCGAAAGCGUGGGGAGCGAACAGG